GAUGAAGAACGCAGCGAAAUGCGAUAAGUAAUGUGAAUUGCAGAAUUCAGUGAAUCAUCGAAUCUUUGAACGCACAUUGCGCCCGCCAGUAUUCUGGCGGGCAUGCCUGUUCGAGCGUCAUUUCAACCAUCAAGCCCCAGGCUUGUGUUGGGGACCUGCGGCUGCCGCAGGCCCUGAAAAACAGUGGCGGGCUCGCUAGUCACACCGAGCGUAGUAGCAUACACAUCGCUUAGGACGUGCUGCGGGUUCCGGCCGUUAAACCCCCCACUAUAUCAAGGUUUACCUCGGAUCAGGUAGGAAGACCCGCUGAACUUAAGCAUAUCAAUAAGCGGAGGA
rnacentral:misc_RNA from 1 species